rnacentral:miRNA from 1 species
UAUUAGGUUGGUGCAAAAGUAAUUGUGGUUUUUGUCAUUACUUUUAAAUUACUUUUAAUGGCUAAAACCACAGUUACUUUUCACCAACCUAAUA